ensembl:lncRNA
CUCGCUCACGCAGGAUUCACUCUUGAACUGCUUUGACAGUAUUUCAUAUGUUCUUGCACACAGUAUGGGCAUUUUCUGUGCAUACUUCAAGCGAAACUGAAGAAUGAACUGGUGUGAUAUAAUUUCAAAUAAAAUUAGGCCAAAACAAAGUUUGUUUGGAAAUCAUUUGAAUACUUUCCAGAAAAUGUUGCUCUGUUUGCUCUGUUUAGACCUUCAAAUUACCAUUGGUCUGUGGUGAUGAUGUCACAUGUGGUUGAGGCUCAGUUGCUCCACCUUCUUUGACACGAAAAUCUUCUCUGGUUCAUUUCCUUCAGUUCAGCCCAUCAAGGUGUAUGUGACUUCCUUCUUUCAGACGAAUCCAAUCAGAGAUACAUUAAAAAUUGUCCUGGCCCCUCCAAGCCUGUCAAUGGGCGGCCACUCAACUGAGACUGCCCUGCUCUCGGUUACUGAAGCCCUGAGACUGGCAAGAGCAGCUUACAAAUCCUCAGUACUCAUCUUGCUGGAUCUGUCUGCUGCUCUUGACACUCCUGUCCACC